GAUGAAGAACGCAGCGAAAUGCGAUAAGUAAUGUGAAUUGCAGAAUUCAGUGAAUCAUCGAAUCUUUGAACGCACAUUGCGCCCGCCAGUAUUCUGGCGGGCAUGCCUGUUCGAGCGUCAUUUCAACCAUCAAGCCCCCGGCUUGUGUUGGGGACCUGUGGCUGCCGCAGGCCCUGAAAAGCAGUGGCGGGCUCGCUGUCACACCGAGCGUAGUAGAUUUCAUCUCGCUCAGGGCGUGCUGCGGGUUCCGGCCGUUAAACCACCUUCAUAACCCAAGGUUGACCUCGGAUCAGGUAGGAAGACCCGCUGAACUUAAGCAUAUCAAUAAGCGGAGGA
rnacentral:misc_RNA from 1 species